GGACAAACAAACAGCCAGGAGAAAACCACUCUAGACAUAUUUUUGGACCUCUUCCUCCUUUGCCUUUAGGGGUGUUGGGGAGCUAGAAGUUUGGUGAGCUGAAUAUAUCUCCAGUUUGACUAUUGAGGAAGACAUUGAUUGGAUGGCUUGCUGCCUAUCUCAGGAACUCUGGCCUACCUCCAUGGCAGACACAGAAGAAUUACUGAACUUGGAAUCCAGAGACCAAGGUAAAUAUUAUUACCUCUAUUUUACAAAAGAGGAAAUUAAGGCCCAGUAAAAUUAAAUUACUGGCUCAAGAAAACAAAUAUAGUAGAGCCAGGAUUUGAACCUAGGUGCUUUGGCUCCAAAUCCAGACUGCAUUCACAUUACAAUAUGCUCUUGCAUAUAUCAUAAAAAUACUUCAUAUGUGUCUGGGCUUUCUUAAUUUAUGAAAGUUUCAUAUACAGGUAUCUCUUCCAUAUGACAACCUUCGC
rnacentral:lncRNA from 1 species